UACAUGGGGUGCAAACGUUGCUCGGAAUUAUUGGGCGUAAAGCGCGCGUAGGCGGUUACUUAUGUCGGAUGUGAAGCCCUCGGCUUAACUGAGGAAGUGCAUUCGAAACUGGGUAGCUAGAGUACUAAAGAGGGUCGCGGAAUUCCGGUGUAGAGGUGAAAUUCGUAGAUAUCGGGAGAACACCGGUGGCGAAGGCGGCGACCUGGGUAGAUACUGACGCUGAGGCGCGAAAGCGUGGGAGCAACAGG
rnacentral:rRNA from 1 species